UUCCCCCUAAAUGUAUGGAUCAACAAAAUUAACCCCUAAAUAUAUGGAUCAAUAAAAUUAAACACAUAAGAUGAAUCUAGUUCAACUAUGAGGUCACCCAAAUAUUCCCCCUUACAAGAUACAUCUUUCUUAACCUCCUCAAUAAUAUUACUAGACUCAUAGAUACAUUCUUUCUGAUUCACAGUCCAGAUGAUUCUCCCUCACUUGAUACCUCAAUUUUUUGUCAAUCAUACACAAUAAGAGAACCAUUGUCAACAAUAAUUCAAAUAGUAGCUACUCUCUCAGAAUUACUAUUCAUAUGAACAACUUCUCAAUCAUAAAUCAAGUUUGGCUUUGAGAAGAGGUGUGAUGAGAUAAGACUGAUAAUUUGAGAAAAAAGUUAUCAUUAUUUUGGACUUUUUAUUUUUGAAAAAGUGAUUGCUAUGGAGUUUUUUUAGGAGUCAUUCUGUUUUAGACAUUUUUAAAGAAAGGGGUACAAGUGUUUUAUAAUCAUUUUUAAAAUUUGUUUUUUUUUGGUACACAUACCUCGAUCAGUAUUCCAAUGGUUGAUCUUGUUUCCAUUUUCAAGCCAUUUUCCUAUGAUGUAGGAAAAUAUAAUGUUAUAUUGCAUGAUUUAUUUGAACUUGAAAUUUGUAUAGAGACGUACAACUAAAUUGUAAGACCCCAUAAGAUCCUAGCUCACUUCUGCUCGCUAUUGCAUGAUUAAGGGGUCCAAGACUUAGAAAAUUUUACUAAAUGUUAAUACUUAGUCAUUUCCAAUGCCCUUUAAACUUUGAUAAUUUUAGUUUUGACCUUCCCGGCCUUAGAAUGUCGGUUUUAGGGUUAACUCAUGAUCGGGAAUGUCAAAGGUACAUCUCGGGUAAGUUUCAAAUUUUUUUGGGCAAGGUUUGAAGCUUGUUUGGAUGUUCAAAACAAUGAGGCAAUGUGAUAUGUCCGUGACACAUUGCAUAUCGUGUUGGUGGGGAGCAACACGGUGCAUAAUAUUUUGCGUCACUGGUCAUGAUCAAUUUAAUAAGUUUCGGGUAUGUGCAGGUAUUUGAGUCAUUUUCCCUUACUUUACCUCACCCAUGACACGAUAUUAGGGCCCAAAAAGGCAAAAUCACUUAUCUUUUUUCAUAAAUUCUCUCAAGAGAAAAGUUAGAUUCUUCAAAAUCCAAGUUCAAGCUUCAAGAAAUCACCAAGGACCUUCACUAAUACAUCAAUUAAGGUAUGUUAGAUGUUCAUCCAUAGGUCCUUCUUACCCAUGGAGUCCAAUAAUACGUUUUCAAGUUUAAAAUUAUGACUUUUACAUAUUUUCAUGAAUUAUAUCCAUAAACCUCUAUGAAUUUUGAUUUUUAUAUCAUGUUUACAUGUGUUUUCAUUGGAAUCAGCCCUUGAUAUGUUUGAACGAUGAUAUUUGUAUGUUAAAUCCUUGACCCAUGAUUUUCAUAUUACGAUUAUGUUAUCAUCACAUUAUUUAACUAUUCUCAUGCUUUAACUUAUGGCCCACAUAUGUUUGAUGAAAUUCCUUAAUGAUUGGGUUUUUGAACAAUGACUACUUAUUAUGCUUUUGAAGCUUUAGUAUAUUUCUACAGUUAUUGUGAUCAAGUCUUGAGGGUUGAGAAUACCCAAAGUUUGACUAUUUAUUUAGUCUCAAUACUUUCAGGUUGGUUUUAUACAUAUAUGAACAUUAUCAUUUUAGUCAGUUAUCAUACCAGUCAAACAUCAAUUUGGAGUAGGAUUUAGCACCGAGCGAAUCCAGGAAUGGGGGGUUCACCUGCUAGCUGAGGGUGUGAUCUUAAGUAGCAGUCCUCACAUUCUAGAACUACAUAGCCAGUGUAGGUUGAGAUAUUAACCUUCCAAUUGAGGGUUGGCACAUAUCUCACUAAACCACCAAGUAGUAGAGGGUGACUCUUUAGUCCUUCAGGACUUCACUUUAGUGAAUCCACAUAGCCAUGUUUUAGUACCCGUGGGAUGGUACUGACAACCUUCCAACAAGGAUCAUAGGUUGGACCCCAAUUAGCUCAUAUUAGGGGAUGUCAGUUAGAUGAUAGCUUCUAUAGUCUAAGUUUAGUCUUAGUUCAAAAGUCAGUUCAGGUUCAUUUGACCACAGUAUUCAGUUAUCAGUUAAAUCAGUACUCAGAUUUUAGUAUUUUAGUGUACAGACUAUUCCAGCAUUAUCUUAUAGGCUUGGUCCUGCAUUCUUGAAUUCUACAUCUUUCACGUAUACUUUGCAUCAAUUAUCUCAUGUUAUUAAUUAAUUCAGUUAUUAUUCAUGUACAUGAGCCCAUGAAUAUCAACCUAACCUCAUUUAUCAUACCAUUAUAUUCAAAGUACUAAUUGCAUACUUGUUUCUUGCGCUAUGAUAUCUCAUAUUAUAAUUUAGAAUGCUCAGGUUCCCAAUCACACUUAGACUUUCCAACACAUCAGCAACAGUAGUAGUAGUGAGUCCUCAUAUUCUGAGGAUCAAUUAUAUUUUUAUCAGUCUUUUAUUUUAGUUAGAUAGUUGGAGUUAGUUGGGGCCUAACCCAUCAACUCUUAUUCAGCCAUUUUAGAGGCUUUCAGAUAAUUACAUAUAAUCAGUUAGUCUGUUAUUAUUUUUAUUAGUUUUCAGAAAGUUGUUUCAAGAUAUUUUUUUCAGUGCUAUAAUUUCAGAGAUGUUUUAGUAGUUAAACCUUAUGGUGCAUCCAACUUUUUUAUGGGUGUGACAUCUAGUGAGAGUGCAGAGUUAGGUUCUUACCAGUUGUAGGAUAUUUCUCACAUCUAUUAUAAGUAGUGAAAGGGAGAUAGAGGUGCAGAUGUAAGGCCUAUUUAAUGAAAGAAGUCUUCUGCAGCCUUUUUAUAUAGGUUCUUUACCUUGGAGUUAAGAGAAGCUAAGGUGCAUAAGUUUAUCAAUUUGAAGCAGGGGAAUAUGAGUGUGAAAGAUUACUCUCUUAAGUUCAUUCAUCUAGCCAGGUAUGAUCCUAAUGUGGUAUCUGAUCAUAGGUCUAGGAUGAGUAAGUUUCUUUCUGAUGCAGAUGAUAGUAUAGUCAAAGAGUGUAGGACCAUGAUAUUGAUAAAAGAGAUAUACUUGUCUAGGUCGAUGGUCCAUGCUCAGUGGAUUGAGGAGUAGAAGUUUUAGAAAAAAAGAAAGAAUAAAAGAGCCAAAAUAGGUAGCUUCAGUUUUUCUCAUCCGAGGAUAGAGGGUAGUAACCAUCCUCAAUUUUAUCAGUAAUCUUUAGCCCUAGCUCCAUCUUCAGCUAGUGCGCUAGUACCCAAGUUCAGAAAAGUGUGAAUAGUGGUCGUAUAAAUCCUUUUUGCUAGAAAUACGGUAGAAACCAUCAGGGUGUGCGUAGAGAUAGCAGUGAUGAUGCUUUGUGUGUGGUAAGAUAGGAAACAAGGUCAGGGAUUACCUAAAAAGUGCUCAGCAGGGUCAGUCCAGUUAUUCCCCAGUUCCACCUGGUCACCCGAAUCAGUAAGGUGCCACUUCCAGCCUAACGAGUGGUCAACACCCAAAUAGAUUAUAUGUACUUCAGUACCAAUAGGAUCAGGAAUGCUCUUUUGAUGUGGUUACUGGUACGUUACAAGUCUUUUAUUUAUAUGUUUAUGCUUUGUUAAAUCUCGGGGCUUCACUUUCUUUUGUAACCUCCUACAUAGCUGUUAUUUUCAAUGUCAGUCCUGAGACUUUAGCAGAGCCCUUUUUAGUGUCCACCCUAGUAGGUGUCUUCAUUGUAGCCAGGUAGGUAUAUAAUGACUAUUCGAUCAUAAUAUCCCAGAAAGUCACUUCAAUUAAUCUUAUGGAAUUAGAGGUGACUGAUUUUGAUGUCAUCAUCAGCAUGGAUUGGCUCCACUUAUGCUAUGCUUCGGUUGAUUGUAGAAAUAGAAUUUUUUAUUUUUAGUUUCUAAAAUAACUAGUCCUUGAAUGGAGGGGUAGUACUUUAGUACUUAGGGGUCAGCUUGUUUCGUACCUUAGAGCAAGAAAAAUAAUAUCCAAGGGGUGUGCCUACCAUCUUGUUCGAGUUAAAGACUCUAGUUUAGAGACCCUUAAUCUCGAGUCAGUUUCAGAAGUAAGGGAAUUUCCAGAUAUAUUUCCCAAAGAUCUUCUCGGUGUUCCUCUUGAAAGGGAAAUUGACUUGGAAAUAGACCUUCUUCCAUAUGCCCAACCUAUUUCCAUUCCACCUUACAGAAUGGCUCCAGUUGAGCUUAAGGAGUUAAAAGAAUAGUUGAAAGAUAUCUUAGAUAAGGGAUUCAUCAUUCUCAUUAUUUCUCCCCAUGGGGUGCUGUAUUCUUUUUCGUGUGAAAUAAAGAUGAUUCUCUUAGAAUGUGCAUCGAUUAUCAUCAGUUGAACAAAGUCACCAUCAAGAAUAAGUACCCACUCCCUAUAAUUGAUGAAUUGUUCGACCAACUUCAGGGGGCCAGUUAUUUCUCUAAGAUAGACCUCAGAUCCGGCUAUCAUCAGCUUAGAGUCAGAGAAUGUGAUAUUCCAAAAAUAGCUUUCAGAACCUAAUAUGGUCACUUAAAAUUUCUACUCAUGUCCAUUGGACUAACAAAUUCCCUAGCACCUUUCAUGAACUUGAUGAAUAGAGUGUUCAAGAAAUACUUGAACAUGUUCUUCAUAGUCUUCAUUGAUGAUAUUCUUGUCUAUUUUCGUAAUAGAAAUAAUCAUGUAGGCCAGCACAGAAUAGUAUUGCAGACUCUUAGAGCUUAUCAGUUUUUUGCCAAAUUUAGUAAGUGGGUGUUCUGGCUAAGAUCAGUAGCUUUACUCAGCCAUAUUAUAUUUGGUGAUGGCAUUAGAGCUGACCCUCAAAAGACUAAAGUAGUGAGAAACUAGCCCAGGCCCAUUUCUCCAUUAGAUAUCAGGAGUUUCUUGGGUUUGGCUGGCUAUUACAGACGGUUUGUUGAAGGGUUUUUGUGUAUUACAUCCCCCAUUACUAGAUUGACUAAGAAGAAAGUCAAGUUUUAGUGGUUAGAUUUUUGUGAGAAGAUUUUCUUGGAGUCAAAGACUCGACUCACCUCAGCCCUAGUUUUGACACUGCCAGAUGGAUCAAAUGGGUUUGUUGUUUACUAUGAUACUUCCAGAGUUGAUUUGGGUUGUGUUUUGAUGCAGAGAGGUGGGUUGUGUUUUGAUGCCGAGAGGUAAGGUCAAAGCCUAUGCCUCUUGAUAGAUUAAUCCCUAUGAAAAGAAUUAUCGUAACCAUGAUCUUGAGUCAGUAGCUGUUGUGUUUGCUUAGAAAAUUUGGAGGCAUUAUCUACAUGGGGUGCAUGUUGAUAUGUUCAUAGAUCAUAAAAAUUUAUAAUAUGUGUUUUUGUAGAGAGAGUUAAAUCUUCAUCAGAGAAGUGGUUAAAAUUGUAGAAGGACUAUGAUAUAAGUGUUUUGUAUCAUUUAGGCAAGGCCAAUGUAGUGGCAGAUACCCUUUGUAGAUUGUCUAUAAGUAGUGUGGCUCAUAUUGAGAAUGAUGAGAAGAAGUUGGUUCAGGAGGUUCAUCAGUUGCCUAGGUUAGGUAUUCAUUUGGUUAACUUAGCUAAGGGUAGUGUAUGUGUUCAAAAUAGUUCAAAAUCUUUUUUGGUUGCCGAAGUGAAAGAAAAACAAGAUAGGGACCCAUUCUCAUUAAGUUGAAGGAGUCAGUCAGAGAUCAGAAAGUAGAGGUUUUCUCCUAUGGGGGAGAUGGUGUAUUGCAUUACCCGGGUAGAUUGUGUGUGGCAUCUGGUGACGGUUUAAGAUAGCGAAUUUUUGUAGAAGCGCAUGGUGCACGUUACUCUCUUCACCCAGGAGCCACUAUGAUGUACCAUGAUUUACAGGAAAUCGAUUGGCGGAGUGGUAUAAAAAUGGAUAUUGCAGAGUUUAGCCAAGUUCGCUAAUUAUUAGAAGGUUAAGGUUGAGCACCAAAGGCCUAGUGGCAUUAUGCCGGGGUUCAACAUCCCCACAUAGAAGUGGGAGGAGGCGAACAUGGAUUUUGUGAUAGGGUUGCCUUGUUCACGUCACCAACAUGAUUUAAUUUGGGUUAUUGUAGACAAAAUGACCAAAUCAGCCCAUUUCUUACUAGUCCAUACUUCUUAUUCAACUGAGGAUUAUGCCAAGAUCUAUAUUAGAGAGUUGGUUAGUCUGCAUGGAUCCCGUUGUCCAUUAUAUUAGAUAGAGGUACUCAGUUUACCUUUCACUUUUGGAAAGCUUUUCAGAAUGGUCUUGGUACCCAAGUUUGUCUCAGUGCAACCUUUCACCCUCAGACAGAAGAGAGGACCAUUCAGACCCCAGAGGACAUAUUGAGAGCCGGUUUUAUCGACUUUAAUGGAAGUUGGGAUGAUCACAUUCCAUUGAUUGUGUUCGCUUACAAUAAUAGUUAUCUUUCUAGUAUUCAAAUGGCUCCAUUUGAGGCUCUUUAUAGGAGGCAAUAUAGAUCUCUUAUUGGUUGGUUUGAGGUAGGUGAGACCGCUUUGAUAGGUCUAGAUUCAAUAUUUGAUGCAUUGGAGAAAGUUCAGCUAAUCAGAGAAAGGAUUAAGACAGCCCUAAGCCAUCAAAAAUCUUAUGUAGAUGUGAGAAGGAGAGAUCUUGAGUUUGAGGUUGGCGACCUAGUUUAUUUGAGAAUCUCUCCCAUGAAUGGAGUGAGAGUUUUAGAAGAAAGGGGAAGCUCAAUCCUCGAUAUGUUAUCCCAUACAGGAUCUUGAGCUUUUAUAGGAGAGUAGUGUAUGAGCUUGAGUUUCCCGCAGAUCUGGCAUCAGUGCACCCAGUAUUCCAUGUUUCUUUAUUAAAGAAGUGUAUUGGUGACCCAACUGUCGUUAUUCCUUUAGAAAGCUUAGAUGUUCAGAAUAGUCUUUCUUACAAAGAACUCCCAGUUGAAAUCCUUGAUCGGCAGACCCGUAGACUGAGGAGCAAAGAAGUACCCUUGGUCAAAGUUCUUUGACGGAACCAGUCCGUAGAGCUCACUUGGGAAGCAGAAGCAGAUAUGCGAACCAAGUACGCUCACCUUUUCUCUGCAAACUCAGAGUCAGCUUACAGUAACAGUUUUUCCUUGGAUUAUCUCUUUUCCAUUCUCAGUUCCAACAAUAUAAUCAUUUUCUUAUCAUUGCGUGCAUUCACAAAUCAGUUUAGUCAUGUAUCACGUUUUACACUUAGUCAUGUAACCAUGUUUUCAGUUAUGCAUAUUCAGUAUGCAAAUUCAGUUCAAUUAGUAUUCUUAGUGUAAUUAGUCUCAUGCAACGAUGAAUGUUCCCAAUAGGGAGUUAUUCUAAUACCCCGUGUUAGUCUUAGCUCAGAUUAUCUCAUAGUGUGUGCAUAAGAGUCUAAAAACCUAAAAAUUUAGCUAUGUGUUGGGGACUUAACCAUAUUUUUGGCCUCUUAACUUUGAUGAUUUUUAAAGUGACCUUUCCGACCUCGAGACGGUGGUUUCUAAAUUAAGUCAUGUUAAGGGGUGUAAGUAGCAUAUCUGAAGGAAGUUUUGGAUUUUUAUUACAAGGAUUGAGGCACUUUUGGAUUUCAAUUCCAGAACCUUACUGUGAUUGUGGUGCGUUACGGUGGGUUUAGUGGUGGCAUCAUUGGCGCAUUGCGGUGAUGGCCUAAUCGGUAUUUCAAUUACAAAUUUAAAUCCGAGAGGGGCAAUUUUCUCUUCACGAGAUUAAGUCAUCAUUUAGGGAAUUAUAUGCCUAAUUUCCUCAAUUCCUCUCUAAGAUAAACCAUAACCAUCACCCCAAAUUCAUGAAGUUCAAUCAUUAUUCCUUCAAGAAAACACAAGAAUUCAAGCUUCACCACCCAACAACAAUCAAGAAAGUUAAUUCUCUUGCAAGAUUAAAGCUUUAAGGUAUGUCAGAUGUUCAUCUAUGGGUCCUAUUCACCCAUGGAGUCCAAGAAUCCAUUUUCAAGUUUAAAAUUAGGAUCUUUACAUAUUUUCAUGAAUUAUAUCCAUGAACUUCCAUGAAUUUUGAUUUUUAUAUCUUGUUUACAUGUGUUUUCAUUGGAAUUAGCCCUUGACACCCUUGACACAUUUGAAGGAUGAUAUUUCUAUGUUAAAUCCUUAACCCAAGAUUUUAGUAUUGAAAAUGUUACUAUCUUAUGUUUUAACUAUUCCCAUGCUUUAAUUCAUGACCCAUAUGUGUUUGAUGAAAUGCCUAGAUGAUUGGGUUUUGAACUUUGACUACUUAUUAUGUUUCCAAAGAUUUAGUAUCUUUCUACUAUUAAUGUUAUCAUGUCCUGGGGGUUAUAAAUACCCAAAAACUUAGUUUUUUACUUAGUCUUAGUAUUUUCAGAAUAGUUUUGGAUAAAUUUUAGUAUUAUCAGUUCAAUCAGUUAUCAUACUAGUCAAACUUAGAUCAAUUUAGUAACACUGAGUGAACCUAGGAAUUGGGGAUCACCUUCCAAUUGAGGGUAUGACCUUUAGUAUUAGUCCCUGUAUUCCAGAACUAUGUAACCAGCAUAGGUUGAGAUGUAAACCUGCUAGUGGAGGGUUGACAUAUAUCUUACUAGAGCACCUAUCAGUGGAGGGUGACUCUUUCGUCCUUUAGGACUUCACUUUAGUGGAUCCACAAAGCCAUGUAUUAGUACCAGUGGCACGGUACUGAUACCCUUCCAACUGAGGUCACAGUUUAGACCCCAAUUAGCUCAUAUUAGGGAAUGUCGGUUAGAUAAUAGAUCCCACAGUCUCAGUCCAGUCUCAGUUCGAAAGUCAGUUCAGGUUUUCUAGACCAUAGUAUUCAGUUUAUCAGUUAAAUCAGUACUCACGUUGUAGUAUUUUAGUUUACAGACUUCCAGUAUCAUAUUAUAUGCUUGGUCAUGCAUUUUCAGAUUUUACAGCUUUCAUGCAUACUAUGAAUCAGUUAUCUCAUGCUAUUCAUUCAGCUGGUUAUUAUUCAUACACAUGAGCCUAUGUAUGUUGGUCUAACUCCAUAUAGUAUACCAGUACAUUCAAAGUACUGACCACAUACUCGUUUCUUGCACUAUGAUAUCUCAAAUCAUAGGUUUGGAUGCUCAGGUUCCCGACCACACUUUGACAUUCCAGCGCAUCAGCAGCAGCAACAGUGGUUUGUCCUUAUAUUUUGAGGACUAAUUAUGUUUAUUUCAAUAUUUUAUUUCAGUUAGACAGUUGGAAUUAGUUAGGGCCUGUCCUAUCAACUCUUAUUCAGUCAAUUAGAGGCUUUCAAAUACUUUCAAACAGUCAGUCAGUUUUGUCAUUAUUUUUAUCAGUUGUUAGAUAUUUGUUUUAGAUAUUCGUUUUCAGGCUUUUAAUUUCAGAGAUGUCUUAGUAUUUCAACCUUAUGGCGUAUUCAUCUAUUCCGCAUAUGUGUAGCUUUUAUUAUCAGUUUUAUUCAGUGCUCACAAUAGGUACCAGCUCAUGGGUUAGCUUGUGGUCACUUAUGAUAGUAAGCACUGUGUGGCGUCCAAGGUAUACUCCCGCUGCGUUACACUGCAAGUUGGGGAACUCGAAGACUUGGGAACACUUACCUUGGGAAGGUUUCUGUUUUGUAGAAAUAGGAAUUAGAAGUUUAUAAUUCCUAAUUUACAAGAGUCUUGUAAUUUUUUGAUUGUUGAGGAUCAAGUGUUUUAGUAAAGUUGGGGUUAAAUCCUGUAGAGGUACAUGUCGUGAUUUUUUACUUCUCUUUAAGCCGGGUGUUUUCUACAUAAAAAUCAC
rnacentral:lncRNA from 1 species